UCAGACGAUGCGUCAUGCAUAUCAAUAAGCGGAGGAAAAGAAACUAACAAGGAUUCCCCUAGUAACGGCGAGUGAAGCGGGAAGAGCUCAAAUUUGAAAUCUUAAAGGGUUUCCCUUUACGAAUUGUAGUUUAAAGAAGUGUUUUCUGUUGAGGUUUUGGUAAAAGUUCUUUGGAAUAGGACAUCAUAGAGGGUGAGAAUCCCGUAUUUGACCUUUACUUUCAACUUUGUGAUACACUUUCAAAGAGUCGGAUUGUUUGGGAAUGCAGUCCAAAAUGGGUGGUAAAUUUCAUCUAAAGCUAAAUAUUGGCGAGAGACCGAUAGCGAACAAGUUACCGUGAGGGAAAGAUGAAAAGAACUUUGAAAAGAGAGUUAAACAGUACGUGAAAUUGUCAAAAGGGAAGCGUUUGACACCAGUGUUGUUUUUCUGAAAAUCAAUUAAAGAACUGUUUAUCGCUAAGCUGUUUAGACUUUAUCAGCUAAUCUGUUUAGUUUUAGGCUUUUCUUUAAUGCACUUUUCAGUUAACAAGUCAACAUCAAUUUCUUUUGCUGUAAAAAAGCUUGAGGAAGGUGGCUUGAGAUUCGUCUUAAGUGUUUAUAGCCUCUUGCCUAUGCAGUCGGAGAGAUUGAGGUCUGCAGCGUAGAUCCUUCGGGGCUAAAUGCAUUUGUGCUAAGUUAUAGCAUUUAUAGACAACUUGUUGACUAUGAUUUGUCUUGUAGCUUACUCGCUUAUGUUAUUUUACCUACGCUUAGGAUGUUGACACACGCGCGUGCUCG
rnacentral:rRNA from 1 species